GAAAGGACAAGACAAAGUCAACGGGAGUUAGCUCAAAAAUUACGGUUAGGUAAAGUUAGAUUGCUAAUUUAGCAUCCAUCAAUAAUCCUGAAUUCAAAACGUGGUGAUGUAUGUUUCUUUUUGUGUCAGCAUGUACCUAGGAUGUUUUAUGCAUUUCAUUUUGGGAGUGAAGGUAAAUAAUGUUAUAAGAUGAUAUUGGUACUUAUAUACAUGAAUAUAUGUGCUAUGUUGUGGUUUAAUAUGGAAUGUUUAAGUUAAUGCAAAA